GUGUCAGCAGCCGCGGUAAAACGUAGGUUCCGAGCGUUAUCCGGAUUUACUGGGCGUAAAGCGCGUUCAGGCGGUUGGGCAAGUCGGGCAUGAAAUCUCUGGGCUCAACCUGGAGAGGUUGUCCGAUACUGCCGAACUUGAGGGCAGUAGAGGGUGGUGGAAUUCCGGGUGUAGUGGUGAAAUGCGUAGAGAUCCGGAGGAACACCAGUGGCGAAAGCGGCCACCUGGACUGCACCUGACGCUGAAACGCGAAAGCUAGGGGAGCGAACGGGAUUAGAUACCCUUGUAGUCC
rnacentral:rRNA from 1 species